rnacentral:rRNA from 1 species
CCCUUAGAUGUUCUGAACCGCACGCGUGUUACACUGAUGCAUUCAACGAGCUUUACCUUGGCCGAGAGGCCUGGGAAAUCUUUUUAGCAUGCAUCGUGAUAGGGAUUGAUUAUUGCAAUUAUUAAUCAUGAACGAGGAAUUCCUAGUAAACGCAUUUCAUCAAAAUGCAUUGAUUACGUCCCUGCCCUUUGUACACACCGCCCGUCGCACCUACCGAUUGAGUGGUCCGGUGAAGUCUCGAGAUUGUGGCAAUCUCCUUUAUUGGAGUUUGACUGCGAGAACUUGCCUAAACCUUAUCACUUAGAGGAAGAUGAAGUCGUAACA